CCUACGGGGCGCAGCAGUGAGGAAUAUUGGUCAAUGGGCGGGAGCCUGAACCAGCCGAGUCGCGUGAAGGAAGAAGGUACUUAGUAUUGUAAACUUCUUUUGCCGGGGAGCAAGCCUGAGCACGUGUGCCCAGGCGGAGAGUACCCGGAGAAAAAGCAUCGGCUAACUCCGUGCCAGCAGCCGCGGUAAUACGGAGGAUGCGAGCGUUAUCCGGAUUUAUUGGGUUUAAAGGGUGCGCAGGCGGGCUGUUAAGCCGGCGGUAAAAAUUCAGGGCUCAACCCUGUCGAGCCGUCGGAACUGGCAGU
rnacentral:rRNA from 1 species